rnacentral:rRNA from 1 species
AGUGAACGCUGGCGGUAGGCCUAACACAUGCAAGUCGAACGGCAGCACAGUAAGAGCUUGCUCUUACGGGUGGCGAGUGGCGGACGGGUGAGGAAUACAUCGGAAUCUACUUUUUCGUGGGGGAUAACGUAGGGAAACUUACGCUAAUACCGCAUACGACCUACGGGUGAAAGCAGGGGAUCUUCGGACCUUGCGCGAUUGAAUGAGCCGGUGUCGGAUUAGCUAGUUGGCGGGGUAAAGGCCCACCAAGGCGACGAUGCGUAGCUGGUCUGAGAGGAUGAUCGGCCACACUGGAACUGAGACACGGUCCAGACUCCUACGGGAGGCAGCAGUAGGGAAUCUUGCGCAAUGGGCGAAAGCCGGACGGAGCAACGCCGCGUGAGUGAUGAAGGUCGUCGGAUCGUAAAACUCUGUUAUUAGGGAAGAACAUAUGUGUAAGUAACUGUGCACAUCUUGACGGUACCUAAUCAGAAAGCCACGGCGAACUACGUG